GGUAUAGAUUUAGGUAAGAAGUGGAGGAGUUGAGAGCUUUCUCUCUCUAACAUGAAUGCAUUCCUGCUUCAAAAUUUCCUCUCUGAACUUACCAGAUUAGAGGUAUUUGUGCUCUAAUUGGUAAAUUAUGUCUAUCACGUACCUUCUCAAUUUCCCCACUAUCUAGAGUAGGGUUCAACAUCCGUUCAAAUGGAGCUGCCUUUGUUCAAGGACCAGCUCCGGUGAGUCAUCUAGUUCCAACGAUGGUCAACGCCCACGGUUGUCUUCUCUACUGGUCCAGAGGGUUGUGGUACACGGCGCAGGGCGAUGGCUCGUUGUACGUGGAUCUGGUAUCGGAUCCAUCAAAGGGUUUUCUUAUCUGAUUUCUUCAAUCUUCAACCUCAAAUCGCACAUAACCUGAUGGGUUCGGCGAUAGCGAUGUGGGUUUUCCAAACACAACUCCAUAUCUGUCCCACAGGUUCAAAGAAUCGUGGAUCUGGAUUAGAGAACAGGCAAUCUAUGAGGUGAGUCUGACUGACCGAUCCUAUGGCCAUCUCCACCGCGCCGGAGGUCCUAGCCUCCGGCUAUAUCAUCCGCCGUAUCCCUAUUCCUGCAAUGCGAUGGGGCAAGCUAGGGCGGAGCUCUCAGAUUCAACCCCUGCCGGAAGCGGGUUCUCAUAGUCGGUUCUUGAACCCACGCAAAUGGGUCUCUCCUCAAUGGGUUCUGGAGGCAUUCAACCCUCCUCGAUUCAUAUAUCACUGAACCUGUGCUCAACUGAGGCCGGCAGUCUCAGCAACCGGCGGCGGGUCAUCCAGAUGUAGAUUCAAUUUGGGUGCUGUAAACUUUCGAAUACCCUGUCUGUCGGCAACAAUUACAUCGAUUCACAGAGAUCUGGUUCAAAGCAGAAACCAAUUCUAGCGAUUGCAAUAUCUGGCUGUACAGGGUCACUGACCGAAUUGCCAAGGCUGAAGGUAAUGGACUCUAGAUCUUGUAUUCCAGAUGAGAACCCAUUCAGUAAUUAAGGAAGUUUUGUGGUUUUUGGCAUUGAACAUUAACUAGUUGUGGUUUUGCAAGCCGUGAGCUAGUUAGAUUAUCUGUUUAAUGUCAAAUUUGUUGCUGGACUAUUGGGCCAGUGUUUUGUUAGUAUUUGUGGAACCAUCUUUUGGUUUCAUUGUUCAAGCUUUGUUAAGCUUCUUUAAAUUCCUAGAUUCUUUGCUUCAUUAGCCCGGUGGUCAUGCAUAGUAUGGUUGUGACCAUGGCUAUCAUUGAUUAGAUUGGGGUCUUGUGCUGAUUGAAAAGGGUAGCUUCGCGGCUGCCAUUGACUAGAUCGGUGGUUGGGCUCUUAUUGAAAAAGGUAGCUUCCGGGGCUAUCUUUGAUUAGAUUGGUGGUCGUGCACUGAUUGAAAGGGCUUCACUGGCUGUCAUUGAUUAGAUUGGUGUUAAUGCGUUGAUCGAAAGGGGCAGCUUGGUUCACCUGCGGUUUGAGUGGCCACAUUUUGUGGCUCCUCUUUAUGUCUCUCUUUUAGAUUUUAGCAAGCCUAGGGGAUUUGGUUGAGAGAUUAGUAGUUUGGAUGGAAUGGGCGUGGUGUGCAGGGUACUUGGGAGGGUAGCCUUGUCGGAUGCCGUCAUCUCUAGUUCGAGCCUCUUCUCGGUUCCUUGUCCCUCUGUAGUAGUUGUUCUUUAGAAGUGGGUUUGUUGCUUGUUCUCUGGGUUGGUUAGAGUAUUUGUAUCUUGGUUUGCUUAUCCCAUCUUUGGAUUCUAUGGUGAUUGGUUGUUGGCUGAGAGUUGCUUUAUUAGGCCAAAUGGAUUGGGCGUGGUGUGCAAGGUGGGGCCCUCUGCUGGAUGCCAUCAUCUCUGGUUCGAGCCUCUUCUUGGUGCCAUGUUCCUCUAUAGUAGCUAUUCAGCUUCCCUUGAUGUCGUUUUGCUAUGUUGCUGCUAGUCCUUAGUUUUGGUUAUCAUUUGGUCAUCUCUGGCCGUGACUAUUAUUUUAUUUCCUAGCUUGGCGAGAUGUGCCAGGCAGUAGUUCAAAUUCAUGUUAUUAUUACUCGUAUCACUUCAUACUAUACUCCGUUGUACUAUCCUUCCGCUUAAAUGGAUAGUGCAACGGGGUAUGAUCUCAACACACAUGACACUUUGUUAUUCUAUUUACUCUACCCUACUCUCCAUGCGAGUUGUGCAUGAGUUGUCGCAAAUUUUUUUCAAUCUUCUUUUUUUUGUUCCUUUUCUUUUCCUCCUGGGGUAUGUCCCUUGUAGACUGUACAUUCGAUUAAUCUUUUUUAAUUUCAAGCUAAUUUAUCCAAAACAAAAAAAAAAAAAAACAAAAAACAAAAAAAAAAAAGAAGUGGAGAAGGGUUUUGGAUGAUUUUUACUCAAAUUUGAAUUUGAGUCAAGAUUUGAGUAAAGAGUGGAGAUGCUCUUACUCUAUCUAUUAAAGAGCUUCAAUUUAGCAAAAUCUACAUCAUUUCAGCCCAAGCAGGAAAUUUCAAUCCCUCAUUUUGAAAAAUUCCUCCCAGCAAUAACCUUGUUUCCAGGUAGAGAAGGAAGCAACUUUUGUUGCAACGGCAACAUUUUCAAAACCUCUCAUUUUAUCCCAAAAAAUCAAAACAACAAUUUUUAAUUUAAAAAUUGGGUCCACAAAAUUUUAAGAGUGCAUAAAUACGUGGCGAAAUCUAUAGGGUGAGUUAUUGAGUGAUAAGCUUAUAGACCAAUUUAUCUAGUCCAUUGGAGUUAAAUUUUGCACAUUCACUAGCCAAAAUUUUGGUCAUUCAUCCUAUUUAGUGAUUUAUAUGGUCCAUUGGAGAUGCUCUAACCUUCUAGGGAUGCAAACCGAAUACCCACCGAGUCGAGCUGAGCUUCGAAGUGUUCGUGCUUGGCUCAUUCAAAACAAUCCUUAGGUGAUAAACGAGUGGAGUAGUUAAUUGUUCAAACUUUAUUUGAAAACUUAACAAGAAUCAAACAUGUUAAAGUUUAGCUUAACUGUGAGACGAGCUAAUCUCGAGUAGCUUGAUUUUUUAUGCAUGUCAUAAGCCGAAUGAGCCAAGUAGUAACUUGUUUGAGCUUGAUGGGAACAUUUAUCGAGUUUGGAAAAAAUGUUCAAGCUUAAUUUGUUUAUGUAAUAACAAACUGAUGUUCAACAAGCUUCUAACAAACGAAUACAAGAUCGAAAUCGAAUAGCUUGGUUCAUUUAUCAGCUCUAACUAUCAUAGCUCAACUUAAGCCGAAAUAACCAAGCUCGAGCUCAGCUCGUUUAUGUUGUUGCGUUCGAGCUUCACUCGUUUACUAAAUGAGCUUAAUACUAGAGCUUGUCGAUUACCAAUGAACCGAACUACUUGCGAAUAACUAGUUCAUUUGCCGACUCAAUUCUAGCGUGACGAAA